UGCUAUAGUCAACAGGAGGGAGGGCUUCUGGCCGAGGUGGCAAGGAGGCUCCAGGAGGAGAAGACAGUGUUGACCUGGGGCGUUGAGGGAUGAGGAGUCCUGUAGGCAGCAGUGGAAAGGAAGGUGCUCCAGACAGGGGGCCUCGGGGAACAAGGGGAUGCUGGAGUGUCACUGGUGAUGAAUCUGUUCGGGUCUGCAGCAACCUCAGUUCUUGCCUCCUUAGAAGAAAGAAUUCAACCGAGGGGCAUAAGGCAGAGGGAGAGACCGAGGCACGCUUCAGAGCAGAAGUGAAGUUUAUUAAAAAGCUUUAAAGGAGGAAGGAAAGUACGCCUGGAAGAAGGCUAGGAGGGCACCUUGAAAGACCAGUGUGUGGUUUGACCUUCUGACUUGGGGUUUGAUACAGUGACAUAAUGCGGGGUCUUGUGUUACUUCUCCCCACCCACCCAGCUCCUGAGAUCUUAACGGGAAGCUGCUGAUCACCAGCUUCAGCUGUUGUCUAUCUGUUAGGAGGCUGUCUUUCCCUGGCGCUGGCUGUGACCAAUUAUUACUUUAGAGACAGUUAACAACUACCUGACCAUCACCUCAUGGUGGCCAGCACACCUGUUGUGUGUGUGUGGUGGUGGGGAGCCCUCUCCUGCCCUGCUCAUACCCCCUAGCUACCCACACUAACAUUUCCCCCCGCAGGAGGCCAAGACCCCAGUUCUUGAGGGAAAUGGACAAAGGUCAGUCUUCUGUAACUGCUGUCUGCUGACAGAGGGGCAGCGGUGGUGGUUCUGUGAGUAUUGGCCUCUUGCUGUCAGGGCACGGUUGGCUCCAUGGGUUAGUGAAAGUGGUGGCCAGCCAGGGAGCGGUAUCCAGGGAGACGGGCAGGAUUGUGCCUCUGUCCUGUCCCCCUGAUGGGCAGUCCAGGGGUCCCCUGUAGAAGGGUGGCUCUUGAAUAUUGAGAGGACCUAUCUCUCACUGAGGACCACCUGGAGAUUGAUGACCUGAAGGCAAGAGGAGACAAAUCAGGUUAUUAGAUUUAGAAGAAUGUUUGCGUGAGCCACUGCGCCCAGCCCAUCUGUUGUUU
rnacentral:lncRNA from 10 species